GUGUCAGUGAAUCCUUUGAUUUGCAUUCUAGAAGUCAGGAGUCUGAAGUCGUAAUGAUGCUCUCUGUAGCCUUGAAUGUUUUGUUACUGUAGAUAUCAAGAAUCUGAUUCUUGCAGAUUAUCAAUGCACAGAGGUGAGACAUGAAUUUCAGCAUAGCUGCAGAUUUACACUUGUAAAGGAGGACUGAUGCUGUCAGUGGUAAUGAUAAAGACUGAACAAAAGGAAACAUUCAGGAUUUAUAAAAACAGGUGCCUGGGGCAGCUAUGGAAAACACAAGUAACAGAGUUCUACAGAGACUACAGGAUAAGGCCUGGAGGAAAAAUGACUCAUUGGCUGGACACAGGACAUCACUUUUCACCUUAUCACUCCUGCUAUUCUUCUGUGCAGGUAUCUAGCCCUGCAUAUAAACCAUCUGCACUCCUUCGUCCACAUGCAAUUAAAAAGAGAUGGAUUAGCUCAGAAAUCUUGCCUAAAAUGCUGAAUGUAUCUUCCUUAAAAUCUUUUUCUUAGUCUAGCUUCCAGGAAUGCUUUCCUCAUUGUCUAUAAGGGAUAUGUUUUUCCUUUCUUCUGUCCUUAACUUCUGAAGAUAUUGGCUGAGAUAUGGUACUCCUUGAAGUUUCAUGAAAACAUGUCAGAUUCUACAGGAUAACCUUUAUUAUACACAAGGGAAUCCAUACAUGAGGACACUGUAUGAUUAAAUCUGCACCGGGACUUGCAUCUCAGCACAGAAGAAUCUAAGGACAAGACAAACUUGUAAGAAAGGAAGCAUACAAAGUUUUUACACCCAGAGAACUGUGUCUUGAAUCUGGAAGCUAGCUGAAGUAGAAGAACUUUGAAGAAAGCAAGCAAAUUAAAGUGUUGAAUAUCAAAAGAACAAAUACAAUGGGAUUUUCAAGAGUUCAGAAUGUUAGAAAAUUCCUAUGAACUGCAGUAAGAUCAAUAGAAUCUGUGUCAAAUAGUUCUGAAACCCCAGCCUAGACUCCUUUGCCCAGCUUGUGUAUUGCAGCUCCUAGAAGUGAAUGAAGAAAAGUUCUUUUCUGUAGAUAUCUCCACCCAUCUUAGUCAUGCAGUAUGAGUAAAGAUAACUAUAGCUAAAAGUAAAUAAGGCCAUCUGAUAAGCCUAUGUAUGACAGGAAUUUUUAAACAUUGGAAUGGUGGCCUCACAAUGUCAAUUUGGAGAGUCUGACUCUGUCUAAC
rnacentral:lncRNA from 1 species